GGGGGGGGGGCCACUUCAAACUUUUUUUGGUAGGGGUGAGCAGCUGAGACAUCAAGUACCCCACCCUUUUCAUAUAUUUUGUUAAUCAAAAAUAUAUACCUUGUCAUAUAUUGAUUAACAAAAAACAGACCUAUAGAUAUAUUUCAAUAUUUUCCCCGGUCAUCAUCUUGUUAAGAAGCAAAAUAGUCACAAUAAUAUCACCUUCUCUUCCAAUAAAUUCGUCACAUCUUAAACACUUUUUUCUUAUUGCCCAUUUUACGUCUUUCAUUAUGAAGAUAUUUCAAUUCCAAAAAAUAAUAUAUAAAAGACGUUGGUCAGAUCAUAGAUGGUAUUACAUCUAUGGUCAGAUAAAUGUAAUAUCAACCCAAAGUGUAAUACCUUCACUGAUUUUAACAUGGUUA
rnacentral:lncRNA from 1 species